rnacentral:lncRNA from 1 species
CCAGGCCAAAGGUUGGAGAGCAUGACAGAGAGAGUAGGGCAAGGAUGAGCUGGGACUUUGAUGGAGGCUGUCACGCAGGUAUUUGGUUCUUUUUGACGUGUGUGUGAGUGUGUGUGUAUGUGUGUGUGUGUGUGUGUGUGUGUGUGUGUGUGUGUGUGUGAUGUGACACCAUAACCUGUGACACCCACAUGGAACUCUGUGCAAGCCUGUCUUCAGGGAGUGGCAUAGAUUGGGGAAUGGCAGGGUAGCAGCAGGAGGUCUGGCUUGGUCUUCUGAGUUCCUUGACAGAUGGUGUAAGGAUAAGCUGGCCAUCACCUGAAGCUCCUCUCAGACUUGAAGAGCAUCAUAGGAACAAGCCCAUGGACAUUUCCCUGAAGAUGAAGGACCAUAACACCCCAUACAGUCUUUCAUAGGCUGGUCCAUGAAUGAAAAAGAAUUUGCAAGUUGGAAAUAGUGACACCUACCCAUUAUCCCAGUACUUGAAAUCUGAGACAGGAGAUGCGUGAGUUUGAGACCAGUUUGGUACUACACUUCAAAAUCAAAACCAUCCAUCAAAUGAUUAACUUCUGAAAAGCUUUCAGACUCCUGGUAUGAUGAGAAAGACAACAAACAGGCAGACAAACAGUCACAGAUAUAAGUGUUUUUUACAAAGGGAGAAAAUAAUCUAAGAAGGCAAAUGCUGGCAUCACUCUUGUGGCAAAUGUGCCUGAAGGAUGACCAGGAAGAUGUGCUCCUCAGACUGGGACCUGAAGGGAGAGACAGUUCCAGCCUUGUCCAAUGCAGGGGCAAGUCUGUUCCAGGUAGUGGAGCUGGGAGUGGGUGCCGGUGAAAGCGCUGGUGUGGUAAAGACCCUGAUGGGUUGUUGGAACCAAGAAGCCGUGAUGGUGACUCUCUGGCAGCUUCCCUCUGAAGAGUUACAUCAUCUCCCUUUGACCUUUGUGAGAUGUUUCCUUCCUUUUGCUCAUCAUCUUACAUUCUAAAAGGAGCCACAUGUGAAUGGAAGUUAGCUGCUAAGUCAUCCUUUAGAUUUUUCCAGAACCCCCAAUUCUGGUGGUUGUACAUAUUGCCUUCCUUAUUCUUCGAGUUGGUGCAGCAGCUACCCCAAAGCAUAUAAAUUACCGUGCUGCUUGGCUUGAAGGAAAGAAAUGUGUUUGUGGUUCCUUCUCCAGUAGGAAAAGGUCUCUUGGAAUAUUCAGAGAAAAGAAA